UACGUAGGGUGCAAGCGUUAAUCGGAAUUACUGGGCGUAAAGCGUGCGCAGGCGGUUGUGCAAGACAGAUGUGAAAUCCCCGGGCUCAACCUGGGAAUUGCAUUUGUGACUGCACGGCUAGAGUGUGUCAGAGGGGGGUAGAAUUCCACGUGUAGCAGUGAAAUGCGUAGAGAUGCGGAGGAACACCGAUGGCGAAGGCAGCCCCCUGGGCUAACACUGACGCUCAGGCACGAAAGCGUGGGGAGCAAACAGG
rnacentral:rRNA from 1 species